rnacentral:rRNA from 1 species
UGGGGAAUAUUGCACAAUGGAGGGAACUCUGAUGCAGCGACGCCGCGUGAACGAAGAAGGCUUUCGAGUCGUAAAGUUCUUUUAUAUGGGAAGAUAAUGACGGUACCAUAAGAAAAAGCCUCGGCUAACUACGUGCCAGCAGCCGCGGUAAUACGUAGGGGGCUAGCGUCGUCCGGAAUCACUGGGCGUAAAGGGUUCGCAGGCGGAAAUGCAAGUCAGGUGUAAAAGGCAGUAGCUUAACUACUGUAAGCAUUUGAAACUGCAUAUCUUGAGAAGAGUAGAGGUAAGUGGAAUUUUUAGUGUAGCGGUAAAAUGCGUAGAUAUUAAAAAGAAUACCGGUGGCGAAGGCGACUUGCUGGGCUCAUUCUGACGCUGAGGAACGAAAGCGUGGGUAGCAAACAGG